AAAUGACUUGAAUUGACAUCUGUAAUAGGAAAUAUUCGUGCAAAAGUAAUUGUGGUUUUUGCCAUUUAAAAGUAAUGGCAAAAACUGCAAUCAUUUUUGCACCAACCUAUAU
rnacentral:miRNA from 1 species